UGCCAUUUGUCAACAAAAAGCCUGUUUUUACUUGUAUACAAUUCAAUUGUUG
rnacentral:sRNA from 1 species